rnacentral:rRNA from 1 species
UACGUAGGGUGCAAGCGUUGUCCGGAAUUAUUGGGCGUAAAGAGCUCGUAGGCGGUUUGUCGCGUCUGCUGUGAAAACCCGAGGCUCAACCUCGGGCCUGCAGUGGGUACGGGCAGACUAGAGUGCGGUAGGGGUGACUGGAAUUCCUGGUGUAGCGGUGGAAAUGCGCAGAUAUCAGGAGGAACACCGAUGGCGAAGGCAGGUC